UAUACAGGUGUACCGCUCCGCGAUAUGAUAAAUAUUCACGUAAACGAAAACCGGUUUUUUCAGCAAGUUUAACUGAAACUUAUUUGAUAACUGCAAGGAAGAAUUGUGAUUUGUAAAAGUGGUUCCUGGUUUGUUGUUGCGAGUGUUUUAAGUGGUGUUUCGAAACAGUGACAACAAGUUUUCUUGUGUUGUGUGUACGGUCCUUGAAUCGGAGGCUUCGUCGGUGCCGUUUCUUUUACGUUUUGGAGACGAUUAGUGCCGAAGAUCUCGCUGUCUCCAAGGAAGGUGGAUAAUCGUUCGAACUGAAGGUGCCGACGGCCAUGAUGGCGCCAAGCGUGACGCAGCGCACCAAGUCGCCACGCUCGCCAGGAAACCUGCCCAGGAAACUACAGAACGGGUCGGAAGCAGGCCAGUCGGAGCCGACGGCGGACUCCAGCCCAGGCAACUCCAUCUCUGACGUGGAAAACUUCGAGUGCUACGGCGAGGCCGACGCCGAUGUUCCCGCCAACGCACUAGAAAACGGCAACCGCAGCCCCGGCAACCUGAACCGGCACUCUUGGACGCGGACGAGUCUCCGGCGGACGCAGCCGAGCCACCAGGAGAACUUGCCGCAUCGGCGAUGGGGCUCCAUGAGACACUCUGGGAAGCGGCAAAUCGGAUCCAAUGUCUUAGCUAGCCAAUUAUAUCGUUCGUCGUCGUUCAACUCUUCGGGCUGCGGCUCAGGAGGAGAGCCGGCGGAUGAUAUGUACUCGGAUGUAUCGCUGGAAGAAGAUGUCCAAGGACUUAAUUAUAAGGUGCAACUGCUACAGCAACAGGUGACGUCACUGGCCGAUACGCAGAGCACGGCGGACGACCGCUACGCGCGGGCGAAGGCAGACAACGCGGUGCUACAGGCGCGCGUACACAUGCUCGACGAACAGAUACGAGAGAUCGAAAGCCGAUGCGAAGAGCGUAUAGCGGAGGAACAGAAACGAUGUCGGGAAGCGAUAUCACGUGUCGAGCGAGACAGGGACGCGCAGCUCGCUGCGUUCAGCGACAGGCUAGCUGCGGCUGAGACAGAAGCCUCCGAUCUUAAACAAGAGGUUGGAAGACUCCGAGGCGUAGCAGAGACGUUGCGCGCCAACGCCGACGCGGCCCAACGCGCGCACCGCGAGGCCCAAGAACAAGUUGGCGAACUUGUCGCCCAACUGAACGUAGCGAGAGAGAACGAGCGCAAAGAGAGGGAGGCCGCCGCCGCCGCGACGAAUUUGUUGGCGUCGGCGAAGCUGGAGUUACAGAAGAUGAAGGAAACGCCGCCGCCGCCGCCGGACCCGAGAUUAGAUGAGCUCAGGCAGGAACUGAUGCUGCUAAGGACGCAGAAUAAAACUUUAUCAGAAGCGCAAGAGGAGCUGCAGGCGCAGAUCCUGACGCGCGGCGUGGAAGAGGGCCGCAGUCUGCUGGACGGCGUCAGCGGCCCCCUCGUCGCCAACUCACUAGCUCACGAACUCUCCCAGAUGAGCGACGACCAGCUCGAUGGUAGCGAUACACAAACUGAUCACAGCAUAGAGUUGGAAAAGUUACAGAAAGCAUUGAAGGAGCAGCAAGACGUCAACUGUCAGCUAAGGAAUUACAUCGACGGUAUCCUGCUGUCGAUCGUCGAAAACUACCCUCAACUACUCGAGGUUAAGCACUCGAAACCUAUAGACAUGAAGUCAUAACGGCAAAACUCCGAACAAAGUUAAAGCCUGACCAGGUAUAUAUGAUCAGGCGCCAUGUUGCGGAAUUUCACUGGAACUAUUUUUUUCAUAGUAUACUGAACUGUCACCCUAUACAUGAGAAUAACAGCGCCCUCUUGACAAUGGUCAUAUAUUUAACUGGUCAGGCUCUAUAUUGAAGUGGUUAAUUUUUUUAGAGAAUUUCUACUAACAAAAUAAUCUUAUUAGAAUUUGAUAAUUAUUCAUUAUUGAAAUACCUACUGUGAUAAACCAAAAUUAUAUUGUCCACUUCUCCGUAAAGUUCAAUGAAAUUAUUAAAUAUAAAGUACUUAUUGUUUUUGAAUUGAACUAUGAAUCCUGAAAGAGCUCUUCCAAUUAUCUCUUAUUUGGUCAUGCCAUGAACGCAAGUAGAAAUUAUAGCGUAAAAAUUGUAAAUAUUGUAUAGAAAUUACUUUAAGAUAAGCAUAUAAAGUAGAUAUUUUGUCCCUUUGUCUCAUCAAAAUAUAACUGUUUGUAAUUAUUAAUUAACAUGCAGAUCUGUGUUAAAUACCUUAUUGUAAAUGAUAUUUGAGCAAGGCCAGGCCGUCCAUAAAGAUUUUAUAGAUUCAUAUUAUAAGUAGUUACGAUUAAAAGCAAUUUUAUGAAAGACUGGAGUGUGUGAGUAAAAGUGCGAUACGACUGGUUUCGUCGUCUGUAAUUUUAAGAGAUUGCUAUAUAGAACACGGAUUAUAACACUAAUAGAUGUGCAAUGUAGAAAAUAAGUACCUACCUAAAUGAACUUACGACGCCAGAAAGUUAUUUCAAUAUUUUCAAUAAAUGGCGUUUGACAUGGAUAUGGUUAAAUAUCAAAACCAAAGUUAAUUGUAUUAUUGCCUUAUAGUAAAUCUACUGUUAUAGGCUUGAAAGGUUGAAAUCCUGUUAGACGUUGCACAUCUAUUAGUACAAUUUAAGACCUAUGAUAUUUAUACCUACUUAAAAGAAUGUACCUAUAUUUUUACAAUGAUAUAUUUAAAUUGUAUGUAAAUUAAGUAGUAGUAAUUUAAGCAUUUGUGUACAUUUUGAUAACAUGGUUAAUGUAAAUCUAACAGAUGUUCAUGUAACAGUCAUCGACUUAAAUUAAAUGAAAGGUAUAAAAUAAA